CCUACGGGCGGCAGCAGUGGGGGAUAUUGCUCAAUGGGGGAAACCCUGAUGCAGCGACGCCGCGUGUGGAAGACGGUCCUCUUGAUUGUAAACCACUGUCCCCAGGGACGAAGAUGACGGUACCUGGGGAGGAAGCUCCGGCUAACUAAGUGCCAGCAGCCGCGGUUAUACGUAGGGAGCGAGCGUUGUCCGGAAUUACUGGGUGUAAAGGGAGCGUAGGCGGGGAUGCAAGUUGGGUGUCAAAACUACCGGCGCAACUGGUAGUCGCCGUCAAAACUGCAGCUCUUGAGUGAAGUAGAGGCAGGCGGAAUUCCUAGUGUAGCGGUGAAAUGCGUAGAUAUUAGGAGGAACACCAGUGGCGAAGGCGGCAUGCUGGGCUUUUACUGACGCUGAGGCUCGAAAGUGUGGGGAGCAAACAGGAUUAGAUACCCUAGUAGUC
rnacentral:rRNA from 1 species